GUCCUUUAGAAUAAUUAAAGGUUUAACCUGCCCACUGAAAAAUUUUAAAUGGCCGCAGUAAAUUGACUGUGCAAAGGUAGCAUAAUCAAUAGUUUUUUAAUUAAAAGCUUGUAUGAAUGGUUGGACGAAAUAAAAUCUGUCUUUAAUUAAUAAAUAGAAUUUAAUAUUUGAGUUAAAAAGCUUAAAUAUAAUUAAAAGACGAGAAGACCCUAUAGAUCUUUAUAAUAAUUUAAUUAUUUUUAUUUAAGUUUAAUUAUUAAUUUAAUUAAAUUAUUAUUGUAUUGGGGUAAUAUAAAGAUUAAAUAAAUUCUUUUUAAAAAUAAACAAUAAUUUUUGAUUAGUUGAUCCAUUAUUAAUGAUAUAAGAUUAAGUUACCUUAGGGAUAACAGCGUAAUUUUUUUAAAGAGUUCUUAUCGAUAAGAAAGUUUGCGACCUCGAUGUUGGAUUAAAAAUUAUUUUAGGUGCAGUAAUUUAGAAUUUUGGUCUGUUCGACCAUUAAAUUUUU
rnacentral:rRNA from 1 species